UGACGGUACCCUUUCGAAUAAGAGGUUGCUAACUCUGUGCCAGCAGCAGCGGUAAUACAGAGACCUCGAGCGUUAUCCGGAUUUACUGGGCGUAAAGCGUCUGUAGGGGGUUUGUUAAGUUCCAAGUAAAAUCUUAAGCUCAACUUUAAGUUCGCUUGGAAAACUAAUAAACUGGAGUCCAGCAGAGGUGCAUGGAACUUGCGGUGUAGGAGUGAAAUCCGUUGAUAUCGCAAGGAACACCAAAGGCGAAGGCAUUGCACUGGGCUGGUACUGACCCUGAGAGACGAAAGCGUGGGGAGCAAAACGGAUUAGAUACCCGUGUAGUCCACGCCGUAAACGAUGGAUACUAGAUGUUCGGGGAUUCGACCCCCUGGGUGUCACAGCUAACGCGUUAAGUAUCCCGCCUGGGAAGUACGGCCGCAAGGCUAAAACUCAAAGGAAUAGACGGGGAUCCGCACAAGCGGUGGAGCGUCUGGUUUAAUUUGAUAGUAAGCAAUGGACCUCACCAAGGUUUGACAUCCUAUGACAGCCCUGGAAACAGGGCUUCCUUCGGGCAUAGUGACAGGUGCUGCAUGGUCGUCGUCAGUUCGUGCCGUGAGGUGUUCCGUUAAGUCGGGAAACGAACGAAACCCUCGUCGCAUGUUACAAAUUUCAUGCGAGACUGCCCGGGUCAACCGGGAGGAAGGCGGGGAUGACGUCAGAUCAGCAUGGCCCUUAUACCUUGGGCUACACAGGCGCUACAAUGGCCGGUACAAAGGGUUGCAAAACCGCGAGGUGAAGCUAAUCCCAUAAAGCCGGUCCAAGUUCGGAUUGGAGGCUGCAACUCGCCUCCAUGAAGUUGGAAUCGCUAGUAAUCGUGGAUCAGCCAUACCACGGUGAAUACGUUCCCGGAUCUUGUACUCACCGCCCGUCACACCAAGAGAGUUGGUAGCUCCUGAAGCGUCGCAUUAG
rnacentral:rRNA from 1 species